UGGCUAACUCCUACGGGAGGCAGCAGUGGGGAAUUUUGGACAAUGGGGGCAACCCUGAUCCAGCCAUGCCGCGUGAGUGAUGAAGGCCCUAGGGUUGUAAAGCUCUUUCACCGGUGAAGAUAAUGACGGUAACCGGAGAAGAAGCUCCGGCUAACUUUGUGCCAGCAGCCGCGGUAAUACGAAGGGGGCUAGCGUUGUUCGGAUUUACUGGGCGUAAAGCGCACGUAGGCGGACUAUUAAGUCAGGGGUGAAAUCCCGGGGCUCAACCCCGGAACUGCCUUUGAUACUGGUAGUCUUGAGUUCGAGAGAGGUGAGUGGAAUUCCGAGUGUAGAGGUGAAAUUCGUAGAUAUUCGGAGGAACACCAGUGGCGAAGGUGGCUCACUGGCUCGAUACUGACGCUGAGGUGCGAAAGCGUGGGGAGCAAACAGGAUUAGAAACCCGGGUAGUCCAGCUGG
rnacentral:rRNA from 1 species